GGGUCAGGAGGAGUUUGUUGCGAAGAGUAGUGGAGUGGAAUCGUGGCUAUCACCAGGGCAUACCACGUGGAGUCUAUUGCGGGGAGUGGAGCGGCGUCCGUCGUCGCGACUUGCCAGAGGAUGGAGGAACCGCACGGUAUCCAUCACAGGAAGUGGAGCAGGAUCAUGGCCAUUAUUGCAGCCUGCCAGGGAGUGAUGGAGCCACGCAA
rnacentral:lncRNA from 1 species